GGCCAAUCAGCAUCUCCUUAUAUAGAUGAAUUUCAUUAAUGAAUCUCUAUGAGGAAAGUUCAGUGCAUGCAGAGGGAGGAGACACUGAAUGUUUGGAUGCCUUUUAGGCAGCCAUGACCCAGGAAGGAUCUCUAACAGUCAUCUAAGGAGUGGCCAGUGAAGUUAUCACUAGGAUGUAAUGUAAAGACUGCAUUUUCUCUGAAAAGACAGUGUUUACAGCAAAAAGCUUGACGGUUAUGAUUCUACUCACCAGAACAAAUUCAAUAAGCUGUAGUUGUUCUGGUGACUAUAGUGUGCCUUUAACUAUAUUCAUUGUCAGCUAGUCCACACAAGUUUUGUUCCCAUACAUCCCACUUAAGUUUCCAUACUUAAGUAAGAGUAUGUGAAAAGUAGUUAGAGUUGCCACCUUUCUUGGAAAAACAUACCGGCCUUACUAAUUUGCGUAAUUAAAUAUGUAUGGGUGACAUCACAUGAUGUAAAUCACAAGGAGUGAUAUAAGAGAAAAUGCUGUAAAAUCACCAAAAAACUACUUAGUUUGAUUCUGCUGUAUAGAUGGAUUCCUCCCAGUGCCCCCAUGUCUCCCAGUGCCCUCAUGACUCAGUGCCCCAUGUGUCGAUUACUCCAGGUCUCAGUGUUCCUAUGUAUCAGUGUCUCAGUGACCCAUGUCUCCCAGUGUCCCUUAGUGUCUGCCAUAAUGUCUCCCAGUGUCCCUUAGUGUCUGCCAUAACGUCUCCCAGUGUCC